rnacentral:rRNA from 1 species
UAGGGAAUCUUCCACAAUGGACGCAAGUCUGAUGGAGCAACGCCGCGUGAGUGAAGAAGGUUUUCGGAUCGUAAAGCCCCGUUGUUGGUGAAGAAGGAUAGAGGCAGUAACUGGUCUUUAUUUGACGGUAAUCAACCAGAAAGUCACGGCUAACUACGUGCCAGCAGCCGCGGUAAUACGUAUGUGGCAAGCGUUGUCCGGAUCUAUUGGGGGUAAAGCGAGCGCAGGCGGAAUGUUAAGUCUGAUGUGAAAGCCCACGGCUCAACCGUGGAACUGCAUCGGAAACUGUAAUUCUUGAGUGCAGAAGAGGAGAGUGGAAUUCCAUGUGUAGCGGUGGAAUGCGUAGAUAUAUGGAAGAACACCAGUGGCGAAGGCGGCUCUCUGGUCUGCAACUGACGCUGAGGCUCGAAAGCAUGGGUAGCGAACAGG